rnacentral:rRNA from 1 species
UACGUAGGACCCAAGCGUUAUCCGGAGUGACUGGGCGUAAAGAGUUGCGUAGGUGGUUUAUUAAGCGAGUAGUGAAAUCUAACGGCUCAACCGUUAGGCUAUUGCUCGAACUGGUAAACUCGAGAAUGGUAGAGGUAACUGGAAUUUCUAGUGUAGGAGUGGAAUCCGUAGAUAUUAGAAGGAACACCAAUGGCGUAGGCAGGUUACUGGACCAUUUCUGACACUGAGGCACGAAAGCGUGGGGAGCGAACGGG